UACGGGGGGGCAAGCGUUGUUCGGAAUUACUGGGCGUAAAGGGCUCGUAGGCGGCCAACUAAGUCAGACGUGAAAUCCCUCGGCUUAACCGGGGAACUGCGUCUGAUACUGGAUGGCUUGAGGUUGGGAGAGGGAUGCGGAAUUCCAGGUGUAGCGGUGAAAUGCGUAGAUAUCUGGAGGAACACCGGUGGCGAAGGCGGCAUCCUGGACCAAUUCUGACGCUGAGGAGCGAAAGCUAGGGGAGCAAACGGG
rnacentral:rRNA from 1 species